AUUCAUACCUGACUCCGGAAUGAUAUUUUCGUCUUUAGUACAAUUGCCUGUGGUGGAGUCAGACGCCAGGAAUGUGGCGCUACCGACCUUACACCGACAACGUUUGCAUUUAUCAUCUACACAUUUAGCUCCGUACUUCGCACACUGCUCGUCUGUACAAUUAUUUGGUUUCUGACAUUCUAAGUUAGUAAAUGUAUCGAUUUUUUCUCGUUGGAUUUCAAAGGAUGCUGUUACCGUAUUUCCGCCAAAACAGACAACUAGACAUAGACAGUACCAAACGAAACCGGUUUUGAAUGCGAAAGCCAUUUACGUGUGUGUAAACCGAAACCGCAUUUGAUUCGGGACCGAUUUUCUUCCCUUUACGACGACGAUAGCUCCUUACGAUUUUUGUAUAUACUUUCUCUGUCCUUGCUGUUCGCCAAAUGAAGGAUUAACUUUGUCUUUGUUGCACUAAGUAUAUAUACUG